GUAUGAAGAUUUAAAGCAGCUAUCAAGCUUACUUAAUUAUGGGCCCUCAGAAUCAAAAUAAAAAUGACAGAUUUUCACUUUGAUUUCAACCACAUCGAGCAUUUAUUUAGCAAGUAUGGGCCAUCAAUUCUGAGCUGCUCCUCAAUCAUCCUUACUGUAAAGCUUUUCACUUGGAAAAGUGUUCAAAUGUAAAGGUUAAUGUUGCCUGUGUUUGUAGGCUGUUAUAUUUCAGAAAGGAUUCGAGGUAAGUCAAGCUCAUACAAUGAGCCACGUAUUCAAUAUUUCUGAGGAGAGAAAAAUGUGUCUUUUCUCGUUACACUGGACA
rnacentral:lncRNA from 1 species